CCAAAGCCGCUUUAGUCCACAGAAGAAGCACAUCACAUCUGUUCAGUGGUCUUCCCGGUUUUACAAAGUAUAUCAGCUCAGCCUUAGACUGAAUAACAACUUCGAAUAAUAUUGCUUCAGGAUGAAG